UCUUUCGUAGCUUAGUAGUCGGAGCAUUAGUGUGUAAAACCAAUCGUCCUGGGUUCGAUUCCCGGCGAAGGUG
rnacentral:tRNA from 1 species